rnacentral:rRNA from 1 species
AUUGAACGCUGGCGGCAGGCCUAACACAUGCAAGUCGAACGAGUGGCGGACGGGUGGGCAAUGUCUGGGAAACUGCGUGAUGGAGGGGGCUGACGAGGGGAAACGGUGGCAAAUAGCGCAUAAGAUCGUAUGGGGCGACAUGGGAUGAGCGAGUAGGUGGGGUAAAGGCUCACCUAGGAGACGAUCCCUAGCUGGUCUGAGAGGGUGACCAGCCACACUGGAACUGAGACACGGUCCAGACUCCUACGGGAGGCAGCAGUGGGGAAUAGUGCACAAUGGGCGCAAGCCUGAUGCAGCCAUGCCGCGUGUAUGAAGAAGGUCUUCGGGUUGUAAAGUACUUUCAUCGGGGAGGCGUUACCCACACAAGAAGCACCGGCUAACUCCGUGCCAGCAGCCGCGGUAAUUC